GUGCUCACUUCAGCAGCACACAGACUAAAACUGAAACAACGUGGAGAAGAUAAGUAUGGCCCUGCCGCAGGGACGAUAUGCAAAUCUGUGAAGCAGUCUAUAUUUUC
rnacentral:snRNA from 1 species